GAACGCUAGCGGCAGGCUUAACACAUGCAAGUCGAGGGGCAGCGUGAGGGUUAGCAAUAACCCUUGACGGCGACCGGCGCAAGGGUGCGUAACGCGUGAGCAACUUGCCCUUAUCAGGGGGAUAACCGGUGAAAACGCCGACUAAUACCCCAUGGCAUUGAGUUGAGGCAUCUCUACUCAAUUAAAGAAAUUCGGAUAAGGAUAGGCUCGCGUGACAUUAGCUAGACGGCGGGGUAACGGCCCACCGUGGCUACGAUGUCUAGGGGUUCUGAGAGGAAGGUCCCCCACACUGGAACUGAGACACGGUCCAGACUCCUACGGGAGGCAGCAGUGAGGAAUAUUGGUCAAUGGUCUGACGACUGAACCAGCCAUGCCGCGUGAAGGUCACGGCCCUAUGGGUCUUAAACUUCUUUUGCGAGGGAGCAAUAAGGCGCACGUGUGCGUCGAUGAGAGUACCUCGCGAAUAAGCAUCGGCUAACUCCGUG
rnacentral:rRNA from 1 species